UUGUUGAUGAGGAACUGUGAUCCCCUGUGGAGGGAGAAGCAUUCUGAUUUUGAGUAUUCUCAGCCUUUUUAUGCUGUUUUCUUCCCGUCAUUGUAAAUCUAUCCACCUGUCAUCUUUGAAUUUAGCAACCU